rnacentral:siRNA from 1 species
UGCUACAUACGAUUGGCGGCGA